rnacentral:rRNA from 1 species
AGAUGUUGGGUUAAGUCCCGCAACGAGCGCAACCCUCGUCCUUAGUUGCCAUCAUUCAGUUGGGCACUCUAAGGAAACUGCCGGUGAUAAGCCGGAGGAAGGUGGGGAUGACGUCAAGUCCUCAUGGCCCUUACACGCUGGGCUACACACGUGCUACAAUGGCGGUGACAGUGGGCAGCAAACUCGCGAGAGUGAGCUAAUCUCCAAAAACCGUCUCAGUUCGGAUUGUUCUCUGCAACUCGAGAGCAUGAAGGCGGAAUCGCUAGUAAUCGCGGAUCAGCAUGCCGCGGUGAAUACGUUCCCAGGCCUUGUACACACCGCCCGUCACACCAUGGGAGUUGGUUUCACCCGAAGGCAGUGCGCUAACCGCAAGGAGGCAGCUGACCACGGUGGGAUCAGCGACUGGGGUGAAGUCGUAACAAGGUAACCGUAA